rnacentral:rRNA from 1 species
AACGAACGCUGGCGGCAUGCCUAACACAUGCCAGUCGAACGAGACCUUCGGGUCUAGUGGCGAACGGGUGCGUAACGCGUGGGAACCUGCCCUUAGGUUCGGAAUAACUCCCCGAAAGGGGUGCUAAUACCGGAUAAUGUCUUCGGACCAAAGAUUUUUCGCCUUUGGAUGGGCCCGCGUUGGAUUAGCUAGUUGGUAGGGUAAAAGCCUACCAAGGCGACGAUCCAUAGCUGGUCUGAGAGGAUGAUCAGCCACACUGGGACUGAGACACGGCCCAGACUCCUACGGGAGGCAGCAGGGGGGAAUAUUGGACAAUGGGCGAAAGCCUGAUCCAGCAAUGCCGCGUGAGUGAUGAAGGCCUUAGGGUUGUAAAGCUCUUUUACCCGGGAUGAUAAUGACAGUACCGGGAGAAUAAGCUCCGGCUAACUCCGUG